CCCUUAGAUGUUCUGGGCCGCACGCGCGCUACACUGACGAAUGCAACGAGCUUAUAACCUUGGCCAAAAGGUCUGGGUAAUCUCCAAAUUUCGUCGUGAUGGGGAUAGAUUAUUGCAAUUAUUAAUCUUCAACGAGGAAUGCCUAGUAAGCGCAAGUCAUCAGCUUGCGUUGAUUACGUCCCUGCCCUUUGUACACACCGCCCGUCGCUCCUACCGAUUGAAUGGUCCGGUGAAGCGUUCGGACCGUGGCCUUUGGACGGUUCGCCGUCUGUUGGCUGCGGGAAGUUCGUUAAACCUUAUCAUUUAGAGGAAGGAGAAGUCGUAACA
rnacentral:rRNA from 1 species